AGUAACACGUGGGAACCUACCCUUUGGUUGGGAAUAACCGCGGGAAACUGCGGCUAAUACCGAAUAAGCCCUACGGGGGAAAGAUUUAUCGCCGAAGGAUGGGCCCGCGCCGGAUUAGCCUGUUGGUAGGGUAACGGCCUACCAAGGCUACGAUCUGUAGCUGGUCUGAGAGGAUGGUCAGCCACACUGGGACUGAGACACGGCCCAGACUCCUACGGGAGGCAGCAGUGGGGAAUAUUGGACAAUGGGCGCAAGCCUGAUCCAGCCAUGCCGCGUGAGUGAAGAAGGCCCUAGGGUUGUAAAGCUCUUUCACCGGGGAAGAUAAUGACGGUACCCGGAAAAGAAGCCCCGGCUAACUCCGUGCCAGCAGCCGCGGUAAUACGGAGGGGGCUAGCGUUGUUCGGAAUUACUGGGCGUAAAGCGCACGUAGGCGGCGUGUAUAGUUAGGGGUGAAAGGCCUGGGCUCAACCUGGGAACUGCCUCUAAUACUGACACGCU
rnacentral:rRNA from 1 species